rnacentral:sRNA from 1 species
AAUCGUGAAAAAUGGAAGACAGUAGCACAGACACAGAAAAAGAAGAGGAAGAGGAGAAAGAUGAAAAGGAUCAAGAGCCCAUUUAUGCCAUAGUGCCCACAAUUAACAUUCAAGAUGAGCGGUUUGUUGAUUUAUCUGAAACUCCAGCUUUCAUUUUUCUGCAUGAGAUGCCCUGGGGACGGAGCAUGCCUAAGAUACUGUCUCUAAAUGAAAGUGAUCUCUGCCCUGUCCUUUCAACCUCACAUUCAUGGUAAGUAGAGGUCUAAACGCGGAGAUGGCUUUCCAAAGUAUAAGGAGACAGUCAGCAACAGCGGUCCCAGUGACUCAGGUGAAAACCCAAGGUUUGGGGAGCCAAUGCCACUGUUAGUUCGUGGGUGGAGUAGGCGAUUAAGUCUGUGGAAUUUCACAUGUAUUUAUUAAAGUUAAUUCAAGUAAUUUGGAUGGUGAGGAUGGGUUCUACUUCUUGAAUUCUAACUUCAGGUAAAAGAGAAAUAUGAAUAUCUUCCUUCCCUUAGUGGCAUGCCAAAACUCUCCCCUUAAAAUAUUUUUUGUGCC